GACGAACGCUGACGGUGUGCUUUAGGCAUGCAAGUCGAACGAGAAAGCCCUUCGGGUGAGUAAAGUGGCGAACGGGUGAGUAACACGUGGGCAACCUGCCCCUUCGCAGGGGGACGAACCGGAGGAAACUACCGGCUAAUACCCCGUAAGCUCUACACGCCGCAUGGCGAGUGGAGGAAAGGUAGCUUCGGCUAUCCGGCGAGGGAUGGGCCCGCGGUGCAUUAGCUAGUUGGUGGGGUAACGGCCCACCAAGGCGACGAUGCGUAGCUGGUCUGAGAGGAUGAUCAGCCACACUGGGACUGAGACACGGCCCAGACUCCUACGGGAGGCAGCAGCCAGGAAUCUUGGCAAUGGGCGAAAGCCUGACCCAGCAACACCG
rnacentral:rRNA from 1 species